rnacentral:rRNA from 1 species
CACGUAGGGUGCGAGCGUUGUCCGGAAUUAUUGGGCGUAAAGAGCUCGUAGGCGGUGUGUCGCGUCGGCCGUGAAAACCUGCAGCUUAACUGUGGGCUUGCGGUCGAUACGGGCAUCACUGGAGUUCGGCAGGGGAGACUGGAACUCCUGGUGUAGCGGUGAAAUGCGCAGAUAUCAGGAGGAACACCGGUGGCGAAGGCGGGUCUCUGGGCCGAUACUGACGCUGAGACGCGAAAGCGUGGGGAGCGAACAGG